rnacentral:rRNA from 1 species
UAACGCGUAGGUAACCUGCCUUGUAGCGGGGGAUAACUAUUGGAAACGAUAGCUAAUACCGCAUAACAAUGGAUGACACAUGUCAUUUAUUUUGAAAGGGGCAAUUGCUCCACUACAAGAUGGACCUGCGUUGUAUUAGCUAGUAGGUGAGGUAAUGGCUCACCUAGGCGACGAUACAUAGCCGACCUGAGAGGGUGAUCGGCCACACUGGGACUGAGACACGGCCCAGACUCCUACGGGAGGCAGCAUG